GAAAGUUAAGAAUUAUACAAGUUAGAUGUUUUCGAGUCACCAGAGCCUGAUGAAAUACAUCCUAGAAUACUCAACUUGCUGACUGAGGAAAUAUCGGA